AUAAGAGAGAGUGCGUCAAUGUGUUCUACAUGUACGUAUGGUGAUGUACAGUUUGGAUUCAUUGAGAAUGACGCUAUUUUGAUGUGAGGAACUGAACUGGCAGUAUUUAAACAGUUACAGUCAAGAGAUGACCAUAGAGGCCUCUCUUCCAAUCGAACGCUACCAAGGUCACACACAGGAGGUGUGCAGGCUCAGAUGGUCACCUGACGGUCAGCUCCUAUGAUGUUUUCAGAGUACGAAGCUUGCACGUACAUCUCUAGUGAGUUUCUCUAUAGCAACACUUUCAUGGAUCUAAUUACCAACCAGGAAUUUGGCUGCCCGAUUCACUCACAUUGAGAACGACAGAGACAAGACUCGAUCAGACACAUACACCACUCCAGGUAUGGCAAAGACCAACUCGUUUUUUUGGGAUGAUUGUACAUAUUGCUAGGUUGUACAAAGACGUUAUCUCCUCCGCAGUGGGAGCCUAGGGUUUGGGAUCACCAAGCACCUCCAGUGACUGGCUGUAAAAGUGUGUUGUGAUUCGUGUCCCAACGACAGUGCUGGCUGCUUGACAGAAGUGAUUGACCAAUGGAUGAAGGGUUGGUCUAGACGAUCAAUUAACAUGGAGUGAGCUGGCCAAUCUCGUCUCAGUAACAUAGGAGAGGAGCAAGUACAUGUAGCAAAGGAACGUGUGACCAGCUACGAGUCUGAUCCACCCCUCUCUUGUCUCACGCACGACUGACCAGAGACGAACCUCUCGGAUUGACGCCUCUUUACACUCUUCAUCAUUCAUGGAUUACUUCGCCCACCCACCAGUGGUCCCUAUAUUGACUAUAGUUACGCUAGAGAAGCUGGCUGUUGUUACAACGACUGCUACACGUACAUGUAACAGUGUGUUUCUGCACUCAAGAAUUUCAACGGACAAGUACAUGUACCAUGUGGCUGAGGGUGUGGGCUCUACUCUUAGGAGACCUGGGGAGGGUGGUCACACAGACCAGUGGGCACUUGUCAAAAGGUCAAGGGUAAUUACGAUUAAUCAGAGGAACCACACUGGAUCAUACCUAACACUUGGCCUGAGGUGCACGCUCGAACUCGUGCAUAGUUAUUGCUCACUACCCCCUGCGUCUUGUUCAUUAUUCAGCUCGGACUUCAAAGGUGAGUACAUUGAGAAAGUUCAAGUUUUUGGGUGAGAAUUAUGCUGGUAUAAAGGGGUAACUAUAUACAGGCUUUGGAAACACAUGUCUGUACGGAAACAUUAGUUAUGGGUGAUUCCUCAGACUACAUGGCUAUAGUGUAAACAGAAUCUCUGUUAUGUGCCCAUUAUAAAGUUUGUGAGGUUGCUUGUGUGAUGGCAAUGAUGUGGUCUAUGUUGUGCUCGUGGUUUACAUGAGGGCUGUUAUUUUGAGAAUAAAAUACAGGUCAAAAUUUUCUUGAACAUAACUACUUUGGAGUGCAACAUAACAUGUACAAUGUAGCUGUCAAGAAGGGCUUCACUAAACCCGGGUUUGUAAUUGCACACCUUGCACGUAGGGGUUUAAUCGAGUGACCCCUGUGGCUAGCCGUCAGUCGUGUCUAAGGUGGCCGGGUGCCCUCACCAGGAGCUGGGGGGGGGGGGUAUAGCUCUAAGAAUCGCGAUCAUUAUGUAUAAACAUUGUACGUAUUUUAAGCAGUACAUUAGCUAUAAGCCUGUGUGUGUAGGGGGGAAGGUUGUGUAUAGUAUAUUAACUAUGAGCUUGUGUGUGUGUGUGUGAAUGAGGGGGUUGUACAUGCAUGUCAUUUGAGAAGAUGAGAUGAGGAGGUGAACAAUGUUUUAAAAUAAUUAUUUUGAUUACAGUUUUUGUUGACACUCUAUGAGUAAAAGUACUGCAGUCGCGUAUGAGCACAGACCACAAACCACAUAUAGUUCAUUAGGUGAGUGGGCUAAAUAAACAGGGUUUACAUGAGGUUUGGUUUGAUGGCGUCUUUCAUUAGAACAGCCAGUGCUCACCGGUUGCUACUUUGCAAGGUUAUUAGUGUGAAAGGCUCACGUAUAGUACUGGCCAUAGAGAUAUCAAACAGGGUCUGAGGGUUAUAGGGGGAAUGGUGAUUGGUGCUCAAGACAAAUCACCAAUAAGUGACCACUAUAUGUGGUAUACAAUUUUUCUUGCACUGCACAACUUUUUAAUAGUGAGAACAAAAUAAUAAUGAUCUCAUUUCAUCAUUCAGGAUGAUAAAUACGAUGUAUAAAUGACUUUUUGUUAACAAUUAAUCAUAGCUUGGUUGACUCAGAGGGUUGGCUACCUGGAACCAGGCUAAAGUGGUACUUGAGGUAUCCUGUAUUGAUAAAUGGUGGUACUGAAAGACAAACUGUGGGUUGUGUGUAUAAACUUGUGGUAUGCUGGUAAGAUGAUAUCCACGCACCUCUCUGCAGUCUUGCUUUUGACCGAUUGUGAUCUUACUUUGCAAGGUUAUUAGUGUGAAAGGCUCCCAUAUAGUACUGGCCAUAGAGAUAUCAAACAGGGUAUGAGGGUUUAAAUUAGGGGGAGGAAUGGUGAUUGGUGCUCAAGACAUCCAUCACCAAUUAAGUUAAGGCUAUAGCAAGUAUGUUCACAGUGUAUAUAGAGCACACUUUUUCUUGCACUGCACACUGUUUUUAAAGUGGUACUAGGGUAUCCUGUAUUGAAAAUGGUGGGUACUGAAAGACAAACUGUGGGUUGUGUGUAGGGGUAUGCUAGUAAGAUGAUAUCCACUUACCUCUCUGCUGUGACCUUUCUCAGCUUGCUCUGACUGAUUGUGAUCUUACAGAGAUAGCGAUCGUUGUUAUCCAUGCAUGAGCCUGUUCCAGGUGAUGGUGGAGGGGUCAAUGUCGACAGCACUGCUCAGAUCACCAGAGUUCCUGCAUUUAAGGGAAUUCUACAACACAUACCAUAAUAAUUUAACGUAUCUUGCACCAGUUCAUUUAUAUGCCGGUUCUCUAAAACUGCGUGUGUGGGAAAUGCGUGCAAUUUCAAUGGUACUUGUGUUGAGUUUGACCUUCAUAUCGUUGUCAUAACUGUUACUUCACUGAAAUUCAACCAUUGGAUUUCUUGCUAAAACACGCUUCUUCAGCUAAAAGUUGGCAUUUUCCGUAUAUAGUUGACCACAUAACUUUCGGGGCCGAACUCAACACAAAUACCUUAAGGUGACAUAUUUUCACAUGUUUGACAUAUUUUCACAUAUUGACAUAUUUGAUAUAAUUAGGUAGAUUUGUUUGCUGUUUAACUCAUUUUGCUGGUAUUAAAUUCUUGCUCAAGUUGUGAAAUUAAUGUUAUUCAUACUCGCAAGUGGUUUUAGAUAUCUGCGAGUACAGAGAUUUUACUCUCAUUCACAGAAAUAGCAGAAAUUAAUACUCGAAAAUAUAAUAAUACCUUUUUUUUAUUUUGGCUACUGCUACUACAUUGCAUGUGGAUAGGAGGCAACCUGUCACAUGCAGAGAUAUGAACCACUGUCUUGUUUUGGUGCAUUUUUGUGGGACAAUUUUCAGAUAACUUUAGGCGGGUUGUAAUUGAACAGUAUACGUAUCCACCUACUCACAAAAUACGAUUCCACCCCCUUUUAUAUCAACUAUAUAUAGUCCCAAAGAACACAUGCGUUCCCAAUCCCUUUCCUUUACUAUCUAUGGGUAUACUUUAAAGUGCAGCAAAUGAUCUCUUGACUAAAUCAUGAAAAUCGUAAGUAGGAUUGUACCACCCAGACUCAAUUGAAAACAUUGGCGCACGUGAUGCAUUUCCAAUCCCUUUCCUAUGGGCAGGGUUUAAUCUAUAGGAUUAAAUGUUUGGGGGGUAAGAUUUGGCGCGCG